GUGCACAUGAUGUCUUACACUUGAUCUCUGAACUUCAGGUAAGUUCAUAUGUGGACAUAUUUCAUUGCUGAUGCAC
rnacentral:snoRNA from 1 species